GAUGAACGCUGGCGGCGUGCCUAAUACAUGCAAGUCGAGCGAACGGACGAGAAGCUUGCUUCUCUGAUGUUAGCGGCGGACGGGUGAGUAACACGUGGAUAACCUACCUAUAAGACUGGGAUAACUUCGGGAAACCGGAGCUAAUACCGGAUGAUAUUUUGAACCGCAUGGUUCAAAAGUGAAAGACGGUCUUGCUGUCACUUAUAGAUGGAUCCGCGCUGCAUUAGCUAGUUGGUAAGGUAACGGCUUACCAAGGCAACGAUGCAUAGCCGACCUGAGAGGGUGAUCGGCCACACUGGAACUGAGACACGGUCCAGACUCCUACGGGAGGCAGCAGUAGGGAAUCUUCCGCAAUGGGCGAAAGCCUGACGGAGCAACGCCGCGUGAGUGAUGAAGGUCUUCGGAUCGUAAAACUCUGUUAUUAGGGAAGAACAUAUGUGUAAGUAACUGUGCACAUCUUGACGGUACCUAAUCAGAAAGCCACGGCUAACUACGUGCCAGCAGCCGCGGUUAUACGUAGGUGGCAAGCGUUAUCCGGAAUUUAUGGGCGUAAAGCGCGCGUAGGCGGUUUUUUAAGUCUGAUGUGAAAGCCCACGGCUCAUUUGUGGAGGGUCAUUGGAAACUGGAAAACUUGAGUGCAGAAGAGGAAAGUGGAAUUCCAUGUGUAGCGGUGAAAUGCGCAGAGAUAUGGAGGAACACCAGUGGCGAAGGCGACUUUCUGGUCUGUAACUGACGCUGAUGUGCGAAAGCGUGGGGAUCAAACAGGAUUAGAUACCCUGGUAGUCCACGCCGUAAACGAUGAGUGCUAAGUGUUAGGGGGUUUCCGCCCCUUAGUGCUGCAGCUAACGCAUUAAGCACUCCGCCUGGGGAGUACGACCGCAAGGUUGAAACUCAAAGGAAUUGACGGGGACCCGCACAAGCGGUGGAGCAUGUGGUUUAAUUCGAAGCAACGCGAAGAACCUUACCAAAUCUUGACAUCCUUUGACAACUCUAGAGAUAGAGCCUUCCCCUUCGGGGGACAAAGUGACAGGUGGUGCAUGGUUGUCGUCAGCUCGUGUCGUGAGAUGUUGGGUUAAGUCCCGCAAACGAGCGCAACCCUUAAGCUUAGUUGCCAUCAUUAAGUUGGGCACUCUAAGUUGACUGCCGGUGACAAACCGGAGGAAGGUGGGGAUGACGUCAAAUCAUCAUGCCCCUUAUGAUUUGGGCUACACACGUGCUACAAUGGACAAUACAAAGGGCAGCGAAACCGCGAGGUCAAGCAAAUCCCAUAAAGUUGUUCUCAGUUCGGAUUGUAGUCUGCAACUCGACUACAUGAAGCUGGAAUCGCUAGUAAUCGUAGAUCAGCAUGCUACGGUGAAUACGUUCCCGGGUCU
rnacentral:rRNA from 1 species